rnacentral:rRNA from 1 species
GAUGAACGCUGGCGGCGUGCUUAACACAUGCAAGUCGAACGAUGAAGCCCAGCUUGCUGGGUGGAUUAGUGGCGAACGGGUGAGUAACACGUGAGUAACCUGCCCUUAACUCUGGGAUAAGCCUGGGAAACUGGGGCUAAUACCGGAUAGGAGCGUCCACCGCAUGGUGGGUGUUGGAAAGAUUUAUCGGUUUUGGAUGGACUCGCGGCCUAUCAGCUUGUUGGUGAGGUAAUGGCUCCCCAAGGCGACGACGGGUAGCCGGCCUGAGAGGGGGACCGGCCACACUGGGACUGCUACGCGUCCCCGACUCCUACGGGAGGCAGCAGUGGGGAAUAUUGCACUAUGGGCGCAAGCCUGAUGCAGCGACGCCGCGUGUGGGAUGACGGCCUUCGGUUUGUAAGCCUCUUUCAGUAGGGAAGAAGCGAUAGUGACGGUACCUGCAGAAGAAGCACCGGCUAACUACGUG